AGCCACCCGAGGAGCCUGGUAGGGUGAUGAAAGUGAGAGCAGAGGUGUAGCUCAGGGCCGUGCAGCACCUCGGCUUUGGCUCUUUGCAGGCUGUAGAAGCAGAAUCGUAAGACUUCUCCUGGCUUGUUUCUUUCCAUUUCUCGAUUUGACUCCUCAGCCUGCUCUUCUGGCUCCCUGCUGUCUAAUGGAAUUCCAGAGCUUGACCUUGAGAAUGCAGAUUCUCCCGAUUGACAACUUCUAGAGAAGGGAAUCUCAGAAAGACAAAGGAGAUGUUCCUUCUUCCGCUGCAAGAGUGGAAAAGCAGACACUCUCCUGAGAGCCUCAUAAAGCUGGUGAAAGCCUGUUCUGAUAAAGCACCCAGGAGAUCAUUCCUUCCGCCCCCUGCUCCCAGGACAGGCACUUAGGUGAGAAUGUGUGACUCAUCCAGUUCUGAUACCUGCUGCAAAUGGUAUAUGA
rnacentral:lncRNA from 1 species